rnacentral:misc_RNA from 1 species
CAGCCACAUUCAGAUCAAUAUCAAGGCUGUCCCUUCUCUGUUUUGAAUUACUGCCAAUUCUCCCAAUCUCAAGAUUCUUGUCACCAUCAGAAGUCUUGCGCGGUGAAGCUGGUCGAAAAGCACUAGUAGCUGCAGACCCUUUCCAUCCGAGAAUGCCCUCAAACUGCAAAGGUGCUGAAGGAGAUCCAGAAGCUGCUGUUGGCCUUGAAGCUGAAACAACG